rnacentral:rRNA from 1 species
AUUGAACGAUGGCGGCAGGCCUAACACAUGCAAGUCGAACGAGUGGCGGACGGGUGAGUAAUGUCUGGGAAACGGCCUGAUGGAGGGGGAUAACUACUGGAAACGGUAGCUAAUACCGCAUACCAUCAGAUGUGCCCAGAUGGGAUUAGCUAGUUGGUGGGGGAACGGCUAACCAAGGCGACGAUCCCUAGCUGGUCUGAGAGGAUGACCAGCCACACGAGAACUGAGCCACGGUCCAGACUCCUACGGGAGGCAGCAGUGGGGAAUAUUGCACAAUGGGCGCAAGCCUGAUUCAGCCAUGCCGCGUGUAUGAAGAAGGCCUUCGGGUUGUAACGUCCUUUCAGCGGGGAUACGUUACCCGCAGAAGAAGCACCGGCUAACUCCGUGCCAGCAGCCGCGGUAAUUC